UAGCGGCGAGUGAAGCGGCAAAAGCUCAAAUUUGAAAUCUGGCGUCUUUGGCGUCCGAGUUGUAAUUUGAAGAAGGUAUCUUUGGGCCCGGCUCUUGUCUAUGUUCCUUGGAACAGGACGUCACAGAGGGUGAGAAUCCCGUGCGAUGAGAUGACCCGGGUCUGUGUAAAGUUCCUUCGACGAGUCGAGUUGUUUGGGAAUGCAGCUCUAAGUGGGUGGUAAAUUCCAUCUAAAGCUAAAUAUUGGCGAGAGACCGAUAGCGAACAAGUACAGUGAUGGAAAGAUGAAAAGAACUUUGAAAAGAGAGUGAAAAAGUACGUGAAAUUGUUGAAAGGGAAGGGCUUGAGAUCAGACUUGGUAUUUUGCAUGCUGCUCUCUCGGGGGCGGCCGCUGCGGUUUACCGGGCCAGCAUCGGUUUGGAGCGGCAGGAUAAUGGCGGAGGAAUGUGGCACGGCUUCUGCUGUGUGUUAUAGCCUCUGACGAUGCUGCCAGCCUAGACCGAGGACUGCGGUUUUUAACCUAGGAUGUUGGCAUAAUGAUCUUAAGUCGCCCGU
rnacentral:rRNA from 1 species